CGGACGGGUGAGUAACACGUGGAUAACCUACCUAUAAGACUGGGAUAACUUCGGGAAACCGGAGCUAAUACCGGAUAAUAUUUUGAACCGCAUGGUUCAAAAGUGAAAGACGGUCUUGCUGUCACUUAUAGAUGGAUCCGCGCUGCAUUAGCUAGUUGGUAAGGUAACGGCUUACCAAGGCAACGAUGCAUAGCCGACCUGAGAGGGUGAUCGGCCACACUGGAACUGAGACACGGUCCAGACUCCUACGGGAGGCAGGAGCC
rnacentral:rRNA from 1 species